UGUUGCCUGCUGUUUCCAAGCAUCAAUAUAGCCUAUACUGCUGAAAAUGUUCCUACAUCGUAUACAUAAUCAACCCAACAGCGCCCUUACACUGUACGGGCGUUUCGCUACAAACCAAUAAAAAACAAUUGAAUUUGUGAGUGCCGGCUGAUCACUGGGCUAAGGUGAAAUGCAGAGACAAAUGUCUCGUUAUUUCAGCGAAAAACUACCUGGUUCUGUGGCAUCGAGCGAGAGUGAUUAUCUGAAUCAUGUGUUGAUACUAACGCUGGCAUUUUCUAUGCAGAUGACUAGACUUGCUUGCUUUCCAUCUGCUUUAAAUGAAUUUUUCGUGCAAAAUAGUCAUCCUCUGGAGAAAAAGCAUUUACUUAUAAAAUCAGUCGAAGUAGAAUAUCGUAACUGGACAUCGAUGUCAAAUGGCUACGACAAUGAAUCAUAUUAUGUGGCCUAGAGCAAGAUCACUUUUCCUUUGUUUACGUGUCAAUAUGAUUUGGGACCGUCAAUACAGUGGCAUAUAUGUAUAAUCUUGGAGGGCAUUAGCGCACGCGCCUUUUCAGCACCGACUGUUUCUUCAAUGAAUUCCCCAAUACACCUGAAACUUAGUUGCCAAUCACGCCCUCAAUAGUAGCAGGUAAUGUGGUGGGUGCUGUUGCGAAGGGUUAUUCAUUGACACCACCAAAAGAGAUACAAAACUACAUCAAUGCUGUUGGCAUAAUACUCGCUGCUCUGCCUAAGAAAUAUUGGAAUGCAAAUGAACACCAUGGUGAGCCGCUGAUGUGUCUUCAGUUGGUGCUGCCUUGAGUAAAAAUUGUGAAGACAGCGAGCGCACUAAAAUCGCUGCAAGAAAUUAUAUAUGACAAUGCAGACAAAUCGGCGUCACUUACUAACGAGGAAACAGCGGAAACAAAGAUGAGGAAUUUGCAGGAUUGCAUAGAAUAUUUGGCCAAAUAUCGGCACUGAAAGCACAAAAAUCACAACGAAAAACAACCACGCCAAAGAGGAGUUUUAUGUGCCUAGUCAAGCAUUUUUAACAUCGCUAAUACAAAU